ACUGUGAGUGGAAAGACUUCUGUCUGUUCCUGGGGCUUUGGAAAGGCUCUGAAGGAUCUUUAGGGAAGAGGGGGAAUUGGAUUUGGUCCCAGAAUUUCUGCUCUCAGACAUUCUGGAUUUUCAACAGGUCAGUUUUGCUAGUGAUUAAAAAACCACUUAUGUAAACACAAAUAAAAAGAGGAAUUCACUAACAGCUUUGCCAUAUCCAUUCCCUAGCACCCCAGCCUACCUGGAGGUUUUGCUUAUUGCUUUCUCUGUUUGUGUUUUUCUUUCCUGUCAGAAUGUUUCUCCAGAGAUGAUACAGAUAACUACAGUUCUGUAGUGACCGAUGCCAUCUACACAGUAUCCUUGAUCAUGGCUAAAGGUAAGCACUGAACUCCUGACAGAACUGGAACUACUGAAAGUGACUGAAAGACAGACAGCAGUGCUUGAAAUCCACCUGGCAAAAAAAGUGUAAAGCUUCACCUAGAAGUUCAAUGGGAAAUAGUUCUAGUAUGAAAUUAUCACAACUGACAGUGGAUGGCCCCCACGCUGUGAAAAUUAAGGGUGUUCAGUCCAAUGACUUUAAAGAACUCAGAUGUUAAUACUGGAGAUCUAGUGCAGAACGCUCUGCUCUUCAUUGAUCAUAAGUGAUGCAAAAUAAGCAUCUUUGAACAGUGGGUGGAUCAAAUGAGAGAUAGCAGGGUCUGAGCUGCAAAAUACAUAAAGCAAAAACACAAAACCCCAGAGCUUGGGCUGACAAAAUUGAAAGCCGCAGUCUCAUAAAGCCUGUCUGUGGACAGGCAAGCAAAAAGACCUCCUUUUCACACUUAAAGUCCCAGGCCUAGUGUCUCUCCUGCACAGGAGACCAUAUUAUAUCCUGCAAAGGCAAAACCACCUGUUUUGAUGUAUAAGGUGCUUGCUGGUAUGUGCCAUUUUUUCUUGCUAAUCCUUUUCCCUUCCUGAAGGGGAAGAAGAAUGGACGAGUGAUUGAGAGGUCUCCUGAGUACACCAUGAGGCAAGAAGGGAAGAGAGGAGUUUAUUUUAAUGCUGCUGAGCUGAGUGACUCAGGACAUUGCAUAGUGACCAUAGGAUAUGCAAGACAAUGACCCUAAUGGGCAGUAGAGCAGUUCCAGUGUAACUGUGGAAGGUAAGCAUGAAUGACUCAAGAGACGAAGAGAAGGAGGAAUAGUUGUCUUUACACUGUUGUUCAGUGAACUCCACAGUGGAGCAGUACUGCUUUGCUGUAACAUAUAGGAAACUAAUGUAAAAUUAUGCUGCUCUGCAGUCUUUUUAUUGUUUUACACGGAAUAGGACACUAGUCUGUACCUCCUCUUGGUAGUAUGAAGGUAAUAAUGAGGGACUUCCCUUUGCUGUAUGAAGUGGUAUGCUGUAUGAAGCAUAAAGCAGUAAAUCUUCCAUUUAAGUCCUUACACCUGUCACCUAAACCAGCUUAGUAAAGUGUAUCAUUUUUUUAUUUUAAUCAGGGUUUCUCUAAGGUAUUCUCAUCCUGGUUCUUCAAGGUGACCCAUGGGACAUUUGACAGCAGUCUGCUGAGGACCAGGAACAAAACACAAGACUGAUUACAGGCUUGAAAAGGAUUUGAAUAGUGAAGCAGGGAGCCAUCCAUGAAUUCAUCACUGACAAAGUGGGAAAGGAGCAUAAAGGGAGGUAGGCAUUCAAAGCCAUGGGGGCAGAGUUGCCAAUGGAGGUAGCCACCCCAUCUCCUUACUGUUCUUAACCAGGUGUACACAAACACUUACAGAAUCAAUGCUUCCUCAGGUCUUCUUACCCGGGCCAGUAACAUUUUACAGGCUUAUCUGUGUGCAUGAGCAAAACCUCUCUUUCUGCUUCUUUGUUCCCUGAGGAGAGAAAAUCGAACAGUCGCACUGGUUGAUUUUAAGUCACUAACAUAGCUUCUAUGUUUAUAAAUCAGUAAUCAAGAAUUUUGGGCUGAGCCUUUACUUCAAACGUUGUUGUCAUGAGCAACAAGAAAAACACCUUUUCUGAAAUUAUAAAUAGAAACAGAUAAAUGUGCGUAUUGCUCAGCUCUUGGCAGGCAGAUGGCGCCAGAUGGGCUUUCGGAGUGGCAAUGAGCCUCUUCCUGCCUGCUGGAUCAAGGCAGAGGGACAAACUGCAGUAAGGGUGCUGUGUCUGCAACACUGAAUAUUUAUCAUACUUACAUUGCAUAAAAAUCUAUCCACAGUAAAGCUUUGGUAUAGGAAGGGUUGAUUUUCCUGCAUUCAAAACUAUUUUUGAAAGCCUUCUUAUGACUUCCAGCAGCGAAUUGCAAUUUCUAAAAAUACACGUUGUGUGACAAAAGUAAAAGAAAAAACGACAAAUAUGUUUACAAUUAGAGUGGCUUGGGUUGGAAGGAACCUUAAAAGAUCAUCCAGUUCCAACCUUUUGCUAGAUCAGAUUGCUCAGAGCCUCAUCCAAUCUGAAUUUGAACACUUCCAGGGCAUCCACAAUUUCUCUGGGCAACCUGUUCCAGUGGCUCACCACCCUCACAGUAAAGAAUUUAUUCCCAGUAUCUAAUCUAAACCCACCCUCUUUCCGUUGGAAGCUAUUCCCCCUUGUCCUGUCACUACAUGCCCUUGUAAAUAGUCUCUCUCCAUCUCUCUUGUAGGCUCCCUUCAGGUAUUGGGAACCUGUUGGAUUUGGGUUUUUUAUUGUGUGCGGGACACCCUUAUGAUUUUUCCAUAUUACUUUGUAAUGAAAGAGGGACCAUUUUCUUUACAAGCAAGUGAAGAAGUACCUAACAAACCACUGUGGCUGCAGAGGGAUGUAGUGACAGGACAAGGAGGAAUGGCUUCAAACUGAAUGAGGGUAGGUUUAGAUUAGACGUUAGAAAUUCCUUACCGUGACGGUGGUGAGGCACUGGAACAGGUUCCCCAGAGAAGUUGUGGAUACCCCAUCCCUGGAAGUUUUCAAGGCCAGGUUGGAUGGCACCCUGAGCAACCCAGUCUAGUGAAAGGUUUCCCUGCCCAUAGCACAGAGGUUGGAACUGGGUGAUCUUUAAGGUUCCUUCCAUCCCAAACCAUUCUAUGGAAAACUAACUGGGUUAGAAAAUACUGCUGAACUAUCUUUAUCUGAACUACAGUUCAGAUACCUGAUCUAGUUGAAACUGUCCCUGCUUAUUGCAGGGGGGCUGAACUAGAUGACCUUUAAAAGUCCCAACCCAAACUAUUCUAUGAUACCUCUUGUUCCUAUAUUCGCUUUAUGGACUGGAAUCUUCAAUGAAAUGAGUUUUGUAGUCCACUUUCUCCUAGACCAGAGGGUAUCACAGAAGAUGCAAGUCUGGCCUAUUGACACAUUUCAGAAAGAAAAUCACAAACUUGAAGGAUAUAUGUCAUCUUUCGCCUAAAGCUUUUUGGUUUUGUCCAAACUUCCUAUGGAUUAGGGAAGGCAUUUCUGAGCUGCUCUGUAAUGCAUCACAGAAAGAGCUCAUUUUUAGAAUAAGUGCAAGAAUUAAAAUGUUUCAAUAUUUGAAAUGAUGAAGGGAAACAGGUGGCAAAGAAAGAGUCUUUAGAAAAAGACUUUUUAUUCAUGUUGUGACCAUGAAUAAACCUAAAAAUACAAGUUACCCUCCUUGACUUCUUGCUAUACAUACAUACAUAUAUUUAUACACACAAAUAUAACACAUGCACACAACUUGGAGGCAAUGAAUUCUGAUUGUACUGUGUUAAUUUGAUUUUCUUCUGUGUAGAUCCUCUGAGACAGGUGUCUCAUAAAAGUUACUUAAGGGGCUUUUUACCCACAAGCAACAAUGAGAGGCCAGAACACUCAGCACCUGUAAAAGUCACACCUAUGGAUUUGGGUGCCUAAUUUCAAGAAUCUAUAUUUUAUAUUUCUCCCUACCUAUAUUUGACUGCUUUUUCCUGACUUAGACCAGAACUGAAUUAAAUAAGUGACUGAUUUUGUUGUAUCCAUCAGAUAGAAACCAUAUGAUCCAUGCUUAGCACAGCUUGUAUAACACAUGGGAGUGUUCCUGUCAGGACCAGCAUCUGACUAACAAGACUAUUGCUUUUCUUUUUCUGUUAAUAUUUUGGUUCUUUCUUGGAUGCUUUCCUCUCUCGCAUUCAAAAUGUUGGAAUUUCAUAUUAAUUAAGUUGUAAUCAGUCACACUAUUGUUGUGAUUUCAGCUGGGAUGGAGUUAAUUUUCUUCUUAGUAGGUAGUACAAUGCUGUGUUUUGGAUUUUGUAGAACGAUGUUGAUAGCACACUGAUGAUUUAGCUGUUGCUAAGUAGUGCUUUCUCUUACUAAAGGACUUUUGAGUUUCCCAUGCUCUGCCAGUGAGCAGGUGCACAAGAAGUUGGGAGGGAGCAUGGCCAGGCCAGCUGACCUGAACUGGGCAAAAGGAUAUUCUUUUAGCACAGACCGUCACGCUCAGUGUACAGACUGGGGGGAGUUGCCUGGGGGGGCUGCCCAUCACUGCUCAGGGACAGGCUGGGCCUCAGUCCAGGUCAGGAACUUUAACCUUGCUUGAAGCUUAGAUUGAGGAAGGCUUGGCCACUCUGUUGAGUUCAUUACCUCGUGGAAAAUCCCACCGUAGUCAGUGGAGCAAGACAUGAAGAUAUUUUUCCCUGGCAUGAAUGACUAAACCAUGGACCCUAAUCUAGUGGAAAGCAAAUUAUGCAUUUUUCUUAUUGUUAUAGGUAUCAAAAUUCCAUCUCCUCCUUUGGGAGAGAGAGAUAAAAAUGGAGCAGACUACUGGAGAAAUGAAGUAGACCUAGUGAAGUGGAUUUCUGAACCCUUGAAAUUUAUAUUUUUCUCCACCAGUCUGUGAGCUGAAAUUUCUUCUUGGUUUAUCUCAGUCCAAAAGCAAUAAAAAAAAAAAUCACAUUAGUGACCACUUGGGAACACUUUUAUAAGUGAUUAGAGAGUUGUAUAAUUGCAACAUAUGUGUCUCUAGGUACCAGAUUCCAAGGGGAUGAUUUUCUGGAGGAUACAGAACGAGUUCUGUGUUAUAGUUGUGAACCCUGCAGACCCUGGACUUCCUAGCAUGCCCUAGACCUCUUGUUGCAAAGGUUCCCAUCAGUAUGUUUCUUUCACUGUUAAAUGCCUAGUUUUCCUAAACAUGUAUGCAGUGUCUAGAUCUGUGCAUUUAGGACUGAAGUGUGAGGGAAUGUGAGCUCAAUACAAUGGACUGUGUUGUAUUAAUAGCUCGACUAAAGACUAAGGAAUGCCUUGGUACUGUUGGCUGUAAAUGUAAUUUAUUAUUUGGCUGUAAAUGUAUUACUGUUGGCUGUAAAUGUAUUAUUUACUUAAAUUAUGUAACUAUUAAAACAAGGACACAGUCAGAGAUUCUCACCUGGGGGCAACUGAAUAUAUACAAACAGCGUAGAUCAGGGUGAUGAAGGUGUUCUGAGGUGUAGAUAGCUUUAAUACUUAAUGCUGACAUAUUGGUUGCCACAGGCCCUAAUGUAUGACAAAUAAUAUAAUUUGUCAUGCAUAUUACUAUGCUCUUCUGUCCCCCAUCAACCUUUUUAAAAGAAGAGAAAGCUCUUCAGGGAUUCAUGGAAGUUGCUUAGUUCUGAACUGAUCAAAAUCACAGACUCCAAAGGAUUAUAGUAGCCUCAGAACUGCUGGGCAGUUAUUAUGGGCAGAUAUCAUUUUGUGCUAGUUACAAAGCAUUCUUUCUCUAUAUGGCUAUGUAACUAAAGCAUUUUACAAACAAAAGACUGUCAGAUGCCAUCAAUAAAUAGCUUAAACUAUUGAUGGAAUCCUGUAAUAGAUAAUUAAGUGGGCCUCAGUAGCUGCCCAUAAUUUAGAAAAAAACCUGGCCAAGAGUGGAAGCUAAAAAAUCAGAGAAUUCUACAGAGCAGACAAGAGCCUUGAGGUUAAAUAGUUAGUCAGGUGGGAAAGCAUUCAGGGUCCUUUACAUCAGAAGACAACACAAAACCAAUUUAAAGCCUGAAGCUAUGAUUCUUCUCCUAUUUGAAGACUUGCAUUAUCUCACAUUAGGCUUAGGAGAAUCCAUUCCUUCCAUAUGCACCAUAUUCUUUAUGUCCCUGUGUGCUCAUGUGAGAGUUCUGUACAAAACCCAUUAGCAUCAAGUUUGUUAUGUCAUGCUGCAUUGGUUGACUCUUUUGGUGCCAGGUGCAUUUUAGCAGAGACUUUCAGAGCAGAAUAUGGAUUUGGACACACAACUCCCUACUCAUUUGAUUAAAAACAUACAGAUUUUUUAAUAGUCCAUCUUUUGCUCUUUGUGUGUAUUAUGGAGGCUGUUGCAAGGAGGACUAAAGAGCAAAAAGCAAGAUUUAUUUUUUUUUAAAUUACUAUUAAUUAGGGGUACUGUAAUCUUUGGCAAAUAAACUUGAAGAACAUUAAUAGGAUCUUGCAAUCAGUAAGGACAUUCAAUAAUCUAAGCAGUCCAGAUAGCACCUGACCACUUUAUACAGAACUGUAAGAGGGAUUUAUUAAACAAGAAGAGACACAAGGCACUCAAAGUCAUAGAAAACAGGUUAUAGGAAAUGUACUGCAGAGCUCACCAGCCAGCUAGAGACAGAACAAAAUUUACGCUUUAAUGCUAGACACCUCUUCCAAACACGUGUGGAAAAUGAGUGGUGGGCAGUGCUCAUAGAAGGUUCCCUUUCCAGAUGGUCCCAUGCCAAAUGGUGGUUUUUUCUUAAAUGAGCAACCUUGAAACAGGAUCUGAAUGUGUGUGCUAUGUUGGGAACUGCAUUCUUUUGUUGGACAGAAUUUGCUCUCUGUUUAUUAAGGCUCCUUUUACCCCAAAACACUGCAGGUUCACCGUCUUGAAAUGGAACCCGUUCUGUUCUCACAUCAGCAAGCAAAGGCCUAUGGGUACAGUAGUGUGUCACAGCUCUCCUGCUGUCUCAGAGCCUCCAGAACUGGAGAUGAAUUUUUCAACUCCAGCAUUUGUUUAGCCUGGCAGGAACCAGACCAAGGGAGAUCUGCUGUCAGGACACAUACUAGAGACAUGAGCUGAGGUCACCAAAAAAGUGGAGAAAAUAAACGAAGAUGCCUAUCUCUAGUACCCCUUACAGGAUGGGAAGCUUGCAGGAGAGACAAAUACUACUUCUGAACCCAAGGCAUGAAAUGGAGCUGGUAUGGGAGAAGCAGUGGAGUUACAGGAAGGAAUUCUAGCAAUGCCAUCUUCAGGUAAGAACUGCAGCAUUCAUACAGCUGGAACUCCUAUCUGUCAGCUGUUACUUUUUUUUGUUUUUAACAUAUACCACAUUUUGGAAAGUUUUAUGAUAUUUAUCUUGCACAAAAGAACACUUAGCAUCACAGCUCUGUUGGAUUUUGUUCAGUUUUCAAAAGGGCUGAGAGGAGAUGGAGAGCAGCACAAGCUGUGCAGUCUUUGAGCCAAACUAGAAUAAUUCUGCCAUCCUUGCUUAGCUGUCCCCAGAAUGAGUGUGUCAGGUAAAAUGGCAGUUGUUUUUUCCACCAUAUAACUUCUCACAUCAUAUUUCACGUGUUGUUACAGAGAUCACUUUUGGAAGAUUCUGUGAUUCCUGAGGUGGAUUCUGUAAUCUGAGCAUGGGUUAAGACAGUAGGUACUACAGCAAGUAAACCAUCAUGUCUGAAACAGCCAUUUGCUGUAAAUAGAGUGGUAUGGAGACAGAAUUAUAAUUCUUUCAAACCUCAGUUGGAAUGAGAUGAGCAGUCAGAUGCCAGAAUGCAAAAGUUGAAAUAACAUUAUCAGAGGUCAUGCUUCAAGUACGCUAAUUAUGUCUUGAGAAUGAAGAUAUCAUGACCUGCCAUGAAAUCCCUAGAUAGCUUACUAUUUGAGGCAGCAAAGUAUUUAAAUCUUUAUUGUUUAGGACUUAAAUCUGAUGUUAUACAAAACUGAUUGUGGCAGAAGUUGGACAGUAACAUCAUCAAAUGAGGCAUUAAAGCUGCCUCUUCUUUUAUUUUGUUCUCAGUCACAUUUUACAUGUAAAUUACAUUUCUUUAUUCUACAUUUUUUACAUUAUUUUUAAAUAUUCCUAUUCCACCAGCCUCACCUGAAGUUGUCCUGAAUUGGUGUUCAUCAGCAAGCACUUGAUUGCCGAGGCAUUAAUGUUUCUCUUCUGGUUGCACAGAUAUUAAGGGAAGAGCUGGCAACAUGGUAACCCUUAUACUAACUGCCUUCUGCUGAAACAGUCUGAAGGUUUCUUCUUCCAGUCUUCAGGCAUGACUCAACAGACUGAAGAAUGGCUUUAGUUUUCUGUGCAAUCCCUCACUCUUAAUUUUUUAUUUUUUUCUCUCUUGGUCUGUUUUUCUUUUAUUCCCACCUCCCUAGGUCUGAUCUCACUGUGAGGCUGAAGAGCCACAUGGUGGUUUGUGCUGGGACAGCACUACACAUUCAUACAUCCUUUCUGUAAGAUUCUGGGUUGUGUCCUGCCAGAGAAGAAAUCCUGCAAUUAGUGUUUUCUUGGGCAUCUGGUGAAAUAGAGUAUCUGCAGGGCUACAGAGGCUGGUAGUUGUCCUUUGGUCUUUAUCACAUGAGCUGUCACUUUAGUUUAAAAGUUGACUGUUGGAGAAAAAUCAUACAGUGCUUUAGGUUCAUCAAGUCCUGCAUAACUGCUCACUAUGUUUAUGGCAACUCUUUCUAUAAACCUCCCUGUGGUGGUAAGAUAGAGGGACUUCUGUGCACAUAUGUUUGUCAGCUGCACAACCCAGCCCUUUACAGUUGGAGCAGCACUGUUCAACAAACCAUAACACAUUGGGGAAGCUCUCUGAUUCAUCAUGAGAAGCAGAACUUUUCAAGCAUGCAACUACCCUUCAUGUUAACUGAAGUGAAAUAAUUCUUGAUUAAACCUUGAGUGACCUAAGGGAGUCAUCGGCUUGUAAAGACAAUGCUUGAAGUCCCAAAAAUGUCCUGUCUGAGGUACAACUUCUAUUACAUGGAUGUUGGGAUCAUUUCUACAGAGGCUAAUGGCAGUUUAUGUGCUUUCUUUUCUUUUAAGCCUGGACUACUACAUGAGCUGAAGCUCCGCAGGACCCUGGAGAAUCAGCCCCACUGUAAGAAAGUAUUUCUCAGUCCAAAUUGUACAAACUGUGUUCCCUCAGCUUUAAUGAUGAUCAAACUAAUGAACUAUAGCAUGAGGUUUUGUGGCAUCUCCCAAGCCAAGCCAGCUUUGCGCACUUUCCUGGGGACAAAGCCUGCUGUUGCCUCUACAGCUUGAAAAAAUCUCCCAGACUGGUGCCCUUGAAACAUUUUUCUAUUAGGCUGAUUAAGUACAAGUAGCUCUUGUAGACACAGAUAUCCCUUUUGUGCUCAAAGAUGGUGCUUGUUUCUUUUGCUGCCCAAGCCAGGAAGCAGAACAUUACAGUUGCAGUUGUCUUGGCCAGUGCUCCCCACCAGCACCACUGAUGUGGCAAAAAGAAGGCAUAUCAACAAAAGGGAGGAUAAGAACCAUACCCACUCCUUGUCCACAGCACCAGUGAUUUGUUUCUGACCUGUACCAGGUUAUCCUCAAGAACAUUGAUGGAGACAUCCUUUACAACAUUCAAAUGCAAGUUGCAGGUACAGGAUAGAGAAAACUUGGGCACCUCCAUCACCUCUAGGUCAUGACAAGGAGGUAUUUUUCUGCUUAUGGAAAUUUCACACAAUUUCUGCACCAACACUAGGGUUGGGAAGGUUGUUUUUUUCUUGAAAAAAACAAACAAACAAACAAACAAACAAAAAACCCCAAACCUGAAUGCUUCCAAUGAUACAGCCCUUUAUCCAAAAAAUGCCACAGGAACAAUCCAAAUUUUGCUUCCACUCAAGGGGAGAAAGACUCCCUGCCCAGUGAGGAUUUUCCUACCUCUUGUCAUUGUGUUUCCCAAGUCCUUCCUUCACACUAGCUCAGAGCCUGUUAGCUGAGCCAAACCUGGAAGCAACAUGGUUCAGAGCCCAGGAAUAAGGAUGGUACUGCUGGGGCUUUGCUCACUCUGUCCAAAGUGGAGGGAAAGAGUGAAGCAGUUACUGCUCCAGACAUCCCCAAAUGCUACCUUAUUUCUCAUGCCAUUAUUUGAACAGGCAAAUUUCCGUAACAGCACUAACACAACAGUGUCUGUCACCUCAGCAGCCUGGUGACAUCAUUUCCAUUGCAAGUGGGUCUGUGCCAGCAAAGUGGAGUCAGGCUGGCUUGGCUACUUAGAGUAGGGGGUUAGAGACCUUUGCAGUAUAUUUUGUGCUUGUCAUCUCUUAAGAGUGCUUUCUAAAACUAACAGCCUUAUUUCUUCAUCAAAAGGUAACUACAUGCACAGGGCAAAUUGGUCCUCAGGUUGCUCAGGGUAGAAGUACUUUCCUAGACACACAGGAGCUUUGGAAGGGAGAGGCUGAAGUGAAAAAUUUUUGGGAGGGUGCCAAACAGAAUAAACUAAUACUUGAAUGGGCUCAUUAAUUUAUAGCUUUCCCCUGACCACCCACUAAUCUGAUGCUGGUUGAACAUCAUGACCCUAAAUCACAGCUCAGAUGUAGAAGACAACUAGAGGACUUACGGUGCCCUGCAAUGUGAUGUCAGUACUGCCAUGAGGUUCACAGACACAGAGAAGGUCUACAGCAAUAAGUGUGUCACAGGCCUGCUCCCAGGGACGAAAUACUUCUUCUGAGUCAUUGUCUGCAGGAUUUGCAGCAGGGAUACUUUCCCUCUGGAUUCACAGGAGCAAUGGUACAUCUCCACAGACAGAGGUAAACCUAAAAAUUCAUGACAGUACUGGAGGAACGUGGGUGCUCUUGUACACAAGGCUCUGGGUUAAGCUCAGGCUCCCUCUGUGGCCUUGGGUAUAUCACUAACCUGCUUUGCACCUCAGGUGCCCACCUGGACAUUAGACACAAGAAUACUUCCUGUCCUAUCCCAUCCAUUUGUUGGCAAUCACUUCAGGAUCAGGCUUCCUUUUGCUGCAUGUGUAUAUAGCACAUUACGUAGCAGUUCAUACAGAUGCUGUUUAAAUUAAAAUUCAGCACAGUCGAGGCCAUCCAUGUGCAGGGAGGGUAAUAUUAUCAUGUCUUGACAUAACAGAAGAUUGGUGUUACAAGUCAUUUGUCUUGUAGCACAUUUCCAAUCUGACUAGGAUUUGUUCCCUAAAUAAAAAGCAAACAAAUCAGUUACUUGUAGGAGACUCUGUGACAGUCUUUCAGGGCCAGAAACUAUAAGAAGUCCCUAGAAUAACAUUAAAUUAAACAUUCAGAGCUCAUCCUGUCAGGUAAAUGCCUUCUCCAUUGUUGUGUUUCUCCCUGCUCAUGCCUGAUCAGUAAUAAAGAUGUCUCAUGAGCGCUGCUCCCAAGCAAAAUUGAACAUGGCCCAGCUCAAGUCAAAAUGGUAAGUCAUCCUUCUGCCCAGUCUGGGGCAAUGCAGAAUGCAGUGACUUUAAAUGGUGAGAUCCAAGGCAAAUUUUUUUGCUUGGCCUAUUCCUAGUGUAAGAAACAAUAUAGUAAUAUCAACCAGAUAUAUAUUAAUAUAUAUUGCUAAAUUAAGCAUAUAUUUCUUCAGAAGCUUAUCGACGUGCUGCUACAAGUCUUCUAAUCCCACUAAGAGUAAUGGGCAAUACAUUAAAAUAACACAAUGAAUAGUACACUGAAAGGAGUAAUGAGAUGUCAAGUUGUGAAUUUGUAUUUAACAGUCAGCCUUUCCUGAUUGGCAUCACUAGACCAUAGCUAUGUUACUUGGGCUAUGUGUGUAGCUGAGAAAGAGCAGCUCUAGUUGUGUGGCCAUAUUUGUGUUCUUGUGUAGAAGUGCUCUAGACCUGGAUUUUACAGAGUCUAGUGUAACCUCAGUAAUUUCUGUGCAUGAAGGCAAGUGUAGGAGAACAGUGAAUGGAGGAAAGUUAGGUUGGCUGUGCCUUGUAGUUCAUUCCCUCAAUGUUCCUUUGAUAACAGCCUACCUAUCUUCAGGCAGGACCAGCAGGACACAAGCAGAUGUGAACUAAUUUCCUAUUCUUCAUUAAAAAUGGUGAGUCAUAAGGUUUACUUACAUAAACAUGAGAUGGAAGAAAAACUAUGAAAGAAAAGGAGGAAAUAAGCUGUUUUCUCUCAUAAAAGAAUUUUGCCCUACGGUGAUACAUUUAGAAUCCAAGGGACCUACUUGAUGGGAUCCCAUACCAAUGCAAAAGGCAGUAAUAAAGACUUCAAGAAGUGUGUUUAAAUAGUCUGAAAAUGUGAGAUUUGCAGUGGACACUGGAAAUUAAACUGUACAUGCAGUUCCCCGUGAUUUCCCCCAAGCAUUCUGUAGACUAUUAAUGACUCAGAGCAACACCAGCAGGGCAAUACCCCUUCCUUUACAAGAUCACCUGCUUUGGUUUAUAAUUGGGUGUAAUUUAAUCAUGCAUUUCUAAAGUGCCUUGGGAGCCAAAUAUCCAAAAAACACUUUACAAUUUAAUGGCAUUAAUGAGAGAAGGCAUUGAUAUAUCCCUGUGGAGCAAAAAUCUGACACCUUAGUUACAGAUCAAGAAACAAAGAAAUUAAUUGCUUGCUUACAGUUGCAUAGCAGAUUAAUGGGAGAAUGAGAUUUCCGAUUCCUUCCUCUCUUGCUUUGCAGUUUGUAUUUGUUUACAUGUUGAAAUGGGUAUGCUGGUCAGAUGCCAAGAUUAAUGUUGUGUGUUGUUCAUUCUUCCUCCUCCCUGGGUUUUCCUUGGUGGGAAAGAAGAUCCUUGUCAUGAAAUGUCAUACCCAAGCUUUUUAAGGUUUGUUCUUGUGCAGGAGAAGACUCUGUCUUGAUGGUGCUGGCUCUAUGUUUGCGUGUUUGUGUGUGGAACAGAAAGUGCAGUGCAGAGCAGCCCGUAGUGACUCCGUCCUUAGCAAUUUUUUGACCUCAAGAUGGAGUAUCCUGGGAAGGACUGUGCUUCCUGUUUCAUUACCCCACUGAAGAACCACAACAUGAGUCAUAGCAACAACUGCGCCCUGAGCUGUGUUUUCAUCAGCAACCCCCACCUAACAGUGACCCUCUACAAGGGCAACAUUAGCAUCACAUCCAAGUCUAAGUUGUGGUUCACCUCAACAUGUAGCAUCUGUCUGUUUAUGAUCCCUACAACUUGCAGCUGCAAAGUGAUCCUCUGUGGUAGGUCAGAUUUGCAGCCACUGUGAUUUAUUUGGGUUGAUUCCCUCCAGGCUGAAUAACCAUAGAUUUCAUGUCUGAGUAUAGUUUACACCCUGCUAUUUUACCAGGGCAAGUGCACUUACUGGGACUGGCACUGGGGAUCACACUGCUCUGGGCCAGUGUGGCUCUCAUCCUUGUCCACAGAGGAAGAGAUUGCUCAAUCUGUAGGUCCUGGAGCUGAGGCCACAAGGGCCACAUUGUAAGAACUUACCUUCGUAUCCAAAAAAAACAGCCUCACUCUCUGACUUUGUCUUCCUCUGAGGUCACCGAGAUUUGUCUUCAGUUGCUUGAAGGCAGUAUCACAUCCCUUAAAAUGGCAUAUUUUGGCUAGCAGGCCUCAUGAAUUCCCUAGACAGUUCAAAGGUAAAUAUGGCUAUUUCUCAGUCCCUAACCAGGCUUGCCCUGCACCUGUGGCAUACUUAGCAUUUCUAAGCAGUCCACUGAUGCACCCUGACAACAGCUUUAUGCUUCUUUUGUGAAUACUACAGAUAUCACACUGGGUAAAUCUAUUCUCUUCCUUUGUAAAAUCACAGGAUUUUGCUAACAUUGUAUGACAGCUAGUUAAAUUUCCAAGACAUAAAAUGAAAGAAAAACAGAUCCCCUCUCCUUUCCCUGUUUUGUUAAAGCUCCCCCCCAGUGAAGCUUAAAUCCAGUUGUAACACAGAGCUUGGUUCCAGCUGGCUCAAAUUGAUUGUGUGAGCCUGAACACUUCCAGGUGCAUGGGGUGAGGUUUUACUAACACUAACCCAUGACCCACACAUGGCUUCCCCAUGUCACCAUGCCCAAACUUAGAGCUUGCAGAGUGGUCUUACAGUGUGUGCAGCAGUGCCUGGGAACAGCCGUGUCCUGUGAGUGUCAUCAGCCCCUGGCAAGCUCACCCUGCUUAGGGCUGAUUAACUAUAGAGCCUCUGAGGUUAAACAUUUGAGAGCAAGGAUUCUUUUAUCUGAUGUUACUGAAGUAUGUUUCCCCUGUUCUCCCUUUUUAGAGAAAGGCCCUAGUGCCUCAGGCCUGUUAGUGUCCUCUGAAAGGGAACAAGAGAGAGGCCGCCAGGCACAGCUUGAAAUGAAACUGAUACAGCACCAAUAAUGAGGGACUAUAUUUGGAAAGAUCUUUCGGAGUUAUUUUUGCCUGAGAUCAUUGCUUCUGGACAGCCUGCUGGCAACUGCUGAGCACACACACACCCCCCACCCAGGAUUAGGUUCUCUCUGCUAAUGUGGAAGUAGCUCACAGGGGGUCAGCAGAGGGAAAGGAUGCACAUGCUGGGUUUCCUGCUCUGAUUUUCAAGCAAACUGAUCAGUCUUUGUGCAUAGAACACAUGCAACACUUCUUCGCUGAAGCCAGACAGUGCUCACCUGAAAGACUGAAAUCAAUUCUUAACCAUUUUUUUAAGAAUUCCUGGUGUUACUAUGCUUCCCACUUCCCAUUCUCCCUGAUACACUCCUCCCUGAAGCCACAGUUUCCUUGUUCCUCUAAUCAGUGGGAGCCUUCUCAGGCUGCCAGCCAGGAUAACGCAAGGAACCCUGGCAGCACCGCUCACCCCUUUCAGGGAGGACAGGCAGGCCUGUGGGGCACGAGAGCAGCUCCCUAUCCCCUCAGAGAUCUGAUUGUUGGGUAGCAAGAACCUGCUGCCUUCCCAUACAGAGCUUGUCAACAUGAAGACUGUUACAAAAGGAACACACCUCUUCAAAACUAUUCAAAUCAGCCUGUUUACAGCAGAACUGGCUAAGGAACGAGGCUUGCAAAAGCACUGUAUGGGCGAGGUGCUGAUUUAUAGUCACAUACCUUAAUGGGAGCCUAUGUCUGAGAGCUCCGAGGGCUCCUCCUUACCUUGACCUGGACAAUCUCUGGGGAAGGUUUCUGUCCUGGCAUCUGUUUGCAGCUGAGUGAAGUGGGAAAGCAGGAGUCAGAAUAAGAGACUGUAAAACUGACUUUAGCAGAUAAGGCAUUUGCAUCAAAUUGAGCCGAAUUGCAGGUUUAUUUUAGCUCUCAGGAACUAUAUUCUUGAUGAUUUUUAGUUCUGGAAGAGUGGUAGUUACUGCUUAGAGAGGUAAUUACUGCCUGGAGUCAGACACUGUAGGCUGGAGGGCAUCAUGCCUCAUGUCAAAGCAAGCCCUCUUUAUUAGGCCAGAAUCCCCUUCAGAGCAAGACUUGAAAGACUUUCUUUAGGAAUUCUUUCAAUGAUCUUUACCUGAUGACAGGUUAUUCUAAGAGAAAAGAGUAAGGAGGGAUCUUAAGGGCUGAGCAAAUCUGCUGAUUUGAAUAGCACUGUAGGAGUUGCUGGCUUCUAUGCUGAUUCCAUGGAGGUUAAACUUCUGUCUCAGUUCCUCUUAUUCUGUUGUGGUGGGUUGACCCUGGCUGGACACCAUGUGUGCACCAAAGCCACCCUAUCCCUACCCUCCACAGCCAAACAGGAGAGAGAAAAUUUAACAAAAGGCUAGCGGGGCAAGAUAAGGACAGGGAGAUCAUAAACUAAUUACUGUCACAGGCAAAACACACUCGACUUAGGGAAAUUUAAUUUAUUUAAUUUAUAAUCAAAUCAGAGUAGGUUAAUGAGAAAUAAAAACUAAAUCUUAUAAUACCUUCCUCCCAUCCUUCCCUUCUUCCUGGGUUUAACUUUAUUCCAGAAUUCUUUACCUCCUUCUCCCAGUGGCUCAGAUGGACGGGGAAUGCAGGCUGUGGUUAGUUCAUCACAUGUUGGUUUUGCACCUCCUUCCUCUGCUCUAACACGUUCUCACAUUUCUCUUCAGCUGCAAUUGCUGUUGUAGAGUUUCUUUUUCCCCUUCUUAGGUAUGUCAACACAGAGGUGCUGCCACCAUUGUUGUUGGGCUCAGCCUUGGCCAGCAGUGGGUCCAUCUUGGACCCAUUGGCUCUGCUGGGCACAGGGGAAGCUUCUUGCAGCUUCUCACAGAAGCCACCCCUGCAGCCCCCACAUGCCCAAAACCCAAUACAUAUGUAUUCUUCUGUUUCUCUCCUUUAAGGAAGGACACUUGCAUUCUUCCGCUUAUUCAUGUUUUUCAUGUUUUAGCCCCUUUCUUAAUAUUUGCAAAAACAAAUAGGGCAUUGCACCACUUCUAUGAAACACAGCAGCAGCUUUGCUGCUAUUGGAGCUCAGAAGGGGUUUAUAUAAUUUUCCUGAGGCUGGGAGGUGGCAGGUUGCACAGAACACAAAGCCUGUUAGACCCAAAGCAAAUUAUUCAUAAUAGUGCUGAACUGAACAAGGGGAAAUAGGAGUGAAAAUGAGAACUCCCUGAAUUUGAACUGUCACUUCCUAUUAAAACUGUGACCAGACAACUUUUUCCUUUACACAGUGGAAAGCCUUACAGAGCUUUAUAAGAUUUAAAAUUUUUAUAAAGCUUUCAAUCCAUAACUUUGUGAAACUUGCUCUCAAAACAUAGGGUUGGUUGCACUAAUUAUGGCAAUUUUCUUUUCCUUAAGAAAAAGAUGGACACAGCAACAGGAAGUUUGCAGAAGUCAAAACACAAGAGCUAAUUAGUGGAACUAGCUGUGCCUAGUCCAGCAUGCAGAACAGCAUUGCUGUGGCUGUGUAGUUUGUCUUCAUGUGGCUCAAAACACAGCUGCCCUUGGCUUCUGUAAUGGUCAGUUAGACCAGGUGGUGGAGUGUGGUUUCUGCUCAGCAGGGACACUUCCCAUAUUUCUAUCUUCCUUCUCUCUAAAUGGUUUUAGACCGCAGGGUGCAUGUUAAAUGUGAUAUUUCUAACACCAUCUGCUAAUGUAUUUUAAUGGUAAUAGAAGGAGCCAAAGAUUGCAGUUCUCUCUUCUACAUAUGUUUGCUUCCAUGCUGGUCAGUGACAAUCUUGCUUUAUAGUUCAAGAGGAGACUUGGCUUCUGUCUCCAUGUCCCCAGAUAGCCCAGCAGGACCUCCAUGAUGUUUUUGGCUUCCUUAUGUCAGACUGUAUACAAACAAAGAGUAAACCAUAAAUCUGAAGUACGUGAAUCCUCACAAUACCAAGAAAGUAAACACAACCUUGCAAAUGAGGGAGUCACUUUGUGGAAGAGCUGGCCACAGAAGGUCCAGGAACUCCACUGCCAGUGGCCAGGACUAGAAUAAAUGAACCACUGAACAAUUGGCAGACUGACAGGUAGAUUAAUACAAAUAUAUAUAUAUAUACGUUGGUGCUGGUUCUUUUAAUUUAGACUGAAAUCUUCCAGGAGCCAAUUGUGGAAUAAAAGCAUAGCAGUGGCCAGCCACAGACAUACACUUAGUCUGAGAGUAUUUUGUCACUUUUGUUCCAUCUGGAGCUAGGAAGGAGGUAUGAGGAAACAGGAUGCUCCUCCCAGUAGGCCUCUAAGUUCUUGAAAGGAAUUGUAAAAGAUCAAAUUAAAGAAAGAGGAAAGACUCACCUGCUUUUUUGCCUGCUGUUGACACCUUUAGGCUGCUUUGAAAAUAAUUUGGUAGUAUUUCUGCCUGGUACUGAUUAAUUCUUAUAUCAGGAAUCACUCCACUUCAGAAGGGGAGUAUUAAGGAGUCUCCAUUAAGCCUGCAAGCAGAUCCAUUUAACUUACUGGGAGCAGUUACACACACUGUGUUUCUGUGCUAUAAAUCCUUGAAACCUGUUCUACUGGUGACAGAUGGCCUAGUUCAGGAUUAAUGAUACAAAAUAUCUGUGCCACUGCAUCAAACAGCUGAAGAAUCUGGCAUCAGAUCCCCAAACAGAAUAAAAUGUGCAGACUACCCUACUUUCUUCCUCCUGGAAAUUUUUCUGGGGCAGGGCAGGGAGAGAGAUUUGGCCAUUUGUCUGAGACGUCUUGGCAGAAAAGAGCCUUCCCAGAGCAAUCCUGUGCAGCAAGAUGCUCUCUCCCUGGAAUUGUGGACAAAUGGCCAUUGUAUGUGGGACUGGCUGGAGCAGCAAGGGGCAGGAUUGCCUCAGGGCUUUGCAUCCCAAGGCACACAGGACUCAUAACAUGAGCCAGGUGCCAUCAUCGUGGUGGUGCCUGGUUGGUUUGCGUUGGAUGUGCUCUGUGGGGUGCAUGUUGCUGUGUUUCAGGGUUCCCCAGACAGCAAUAUGCAGCUGACUGUGACAGGGUUUCAGUGGGAUGCUGAGUAGAUCCAGCAUAACAUAUGCUGAUGGGUAUAACAGUGGCACAAAACUGCCCACCACAGAGGUUCUUUUGGCCUCAUACUCUGUGCUGAAACAGUUACAGGAACAGAAAAUAAGCAAGGAGACAUUGUAUCUGCACAGUAAAAAUACCCAGUAAAUUAAUAAUUUUAAUUGCUGUUACACACAGAAGAAAUGAGAAAAAAUACAUUCCAAACAAAGAAUUAAAACAGUAAAAUCGGCAUAAAAAUGUGUUAAGAAAAGAUCCCAGAUCAAGUGGCUGUACUGUAUGUGGUGACCUUUACAAUCACAGUAAAGAAAGUAAGUACUAAAGACUUUCAGACAUGGCAAAUGCUUGACUCCCCAAAGGAGAGCAGCUGCUUCAGUCACAUCUUUCAGUGCACUCUGCCUGGAGUGCGUGGGAGAGGGGCUGGAGCAAGAGGCUUGAAUGGGUCCAAGACAUGGAGAUUAGUGUUCAGGACAGACCAGCCACUCUGCAUUCUCAGCCAGGCAGAACUCCCACUUACCCAAUGGCAUUUGCUUUUUCCUUCCUUGUUUUUCGUGGGUUUGUUUUUGGUUUUGUUUUUUUGUUCUUGUUAUUGGUUUUGUUGUUUUUUGCUAGUUUUUGAGUUUUAUUUAACAAAGGGUCAAGUUCUGCUGGCCUGACCGUGCCAGCACCGUAGAUGUGGAGCAAGCCUCCCCAGGUGAAUUAGGAGCAAGGCUUGGUCCAGCAGGAGCCAGCACCAGCAAGGUCUAGAUAAGUAUGUUGGUAGUGAAUCAGAACCGUCGCCCAACAGGCUAGGUUUGGUUUCUUGUUUUUCUUCUGUCAGGAAAUAUUGUCUUUUAUUUCCUGAUGCUCCGUAUUUUGACCGACCCACAUUGCCCCAGUCGUGCUCCCGCUGCAGUCUUGGUGGCUCAACUCCUCCACCCAUCUGGCCCUGUGCUUCAGCCUCACUGUUGAGCCAUCACACAAUUCCAGUAGCUCAUCCUACAGCAGCACAGUGUCACCACAGAAACAAUACAAACCACAGAAGUUUUGGCAUUCCUGCCAACUGGCCACCUUUUUUUCAUUUGUAGUCUAUCUAGAGUUGUAUAUUUUUAUUCUUUACAAUAAGAGCAAAAAUAAAAUAACAUUAAGAAAAUUUUCUCCAAACUAAGAAAACUAAAACCCACCACAUAUUUUAAAGAAACCAUAAAAAUUUGCAUUGUGUUUGCUUCUGAGUUCAUAUUAAGAUAAGAUUUAACUGCAGCUGCUUCAAAAUUAUGGUCCAUUUCACAUGUACACAGCUCAUGUUCCUUGGUGUGUAAUUCCUGGCCUUCAUUUGUGUUUGUACAGCAGUUAGUGCUACUAGAACUAAGUAGUUUCUAGUUGUGGUCCAGAUUUCAAAUCAGUGAACAGUGGCAUUUUUUAUCCUAGCUGAGAACAUGGUGAUGGUUCAGAGCCAUAUUUCUAGAUCAAUUUUUUUUCCAGGCUGUAGGACUAGUGGUACAAGCACCUCCUUUGCUACAGAACCUGCUAUUUCUUUGAUACAGGUGAAAAGAAAGUAAUUCAAGAAGGAUGUGCCGAGCUUAUUGAUUCCAUCAAGGCCUUCUCUCUCUGAUGAUUUUAAAGCCAGUAAAACCUACAAUCAUAGAAAUUAAACACCCCUUUGCAGUUUGUCCCAUGAAACCUAGCUGACCUUCUGCAGAGUGAAGGUUGGACAGGACGACUUCAUUUUCUGUUCCAGUCUUUUCAACAGCCAUAGCAGACUGUGAGCACACUGUGUUUUGGCUGGAUUAGAUUUAUUCUAGUUAACAAUCAGGAAUAAGACCAGACUGUGAGAUUUGGAUACAGGGUUCACAUCUAAGAAUUUGGUUGAGGCUUUUAGAAGAACUAAAAAGCAUUUGCAAAACUGAAAUUAGAGUUCAGAUUUUUAAGGUAAACCUUCCUCAGGGUUCAAGUGCAGCUGAGCCCAUCCUGUUAACCAGUGUGAAUAAAUCUUUUGCAUUUGCAUCUGAUGCAAGUUGAAAAGGUAGUCACAAUUCCAUGCUUUAAGAGAAGUCCUGAAGAUCCCUAAAAGCAUUUUUAACACUAAAGUUGGAUAAUACUUGGGACUUAUAUAGCACUUUACAUCUUCAAAGUGCUGUAUGAGUAUUAAUCCUCACAGCAUCCUUGUGAGGUAGGUAAGUGCUAAUAACCCUAUUUUAGAAAUGGGGUGAGGGCCUGGUCCCCUGCUGCAGUAACUUGGCAUAGCACUGGCCCUCAUAUGCUUUUGCCUUUUUACACCAGAUGAGGACUUGACCACAGAAAAUGUGACUUACCCAAGGCCACAAAAGGAGCGAGCAUGGAUAAAAGGUAGGAGAAUUACCCAUGAGGACUUCUGUCAAGAGAAGUCAGCAACUUCCCAUCUUCUUCCAAGAACACAGUUAUGAUACCUCUGCCUAAAAGAGCGCCUGUCUGUAUCCAGAAACCAAAAAAAGGAAACAGGCACCUGCCACUGAGCUUUACAGUUGCUGUUUGCUUUGAUCUGCUUCUUCCAGAACAGCUCCCAGAAUUACCAUGAUAGCAAGCUGAAAACGUACAGGUGUUGGUGUCAAACUAUGGGACUGGAAAACCUUGAAGAGCCUCUAAAAAUUCUGCAGAGUUAGUCCUGGGAAUUUUAUAUACUCAUGUAAAAAUAUAUAAAUUACCUACACUGAUUACAACAGGAAACUUUCAGCAAUCUACAUAAAAGACAUGUUAAAGUAAUUGUUAAACCAAUCAGUCUUACAGUUGCCUCAAUAUGGAGGAGUAAUAACCCAGGUAUUCAGUAUGAAUACCAUUUCCUUGGUACAGUAGGAGUAAAGCUAUUAAAAUCCUCUGGCUUUGUUCUUCCUGGCCUGCAAUUUCUACGUGAGCAUCACCCUGCUGACAUCAGUGUGCCUGGCACAGCCCAGAAGCAUCACUAGCAUUUAAAAACCAGUUGCAAUUACCACUGCGUCUUUGACUUCUACACCAGGAGUUCCAUGCAAGGAUCUGUCUAUAGAAAGAGGCUGAAAUAAACCUGUCAGGUCUUUUAUAUGGCCAAAUAAGGAGCAAAAGGAUCUCCAAGAGGGUGGUAACUACAGAAAGGAAAGUGAGUGCAAGCAAUUGGAUCACAUGUGUAACCUGAAGUGACCAUAGACAGGAAUUGCAGGAGUAUUUGGAUACAGCAGUGUGAAAAGAAAGCCUCUGUAUUUAGCAAGGAAAGGAGCUGCUACUGCUGGGGCCAGGCACACCACACCACUUGGGAUGCUUCACUGCCUGGGCCAAAGACCGGGUGCUUCUCAAAGAAUGUACCCCUUACAAGGACAAGAAUGGAUCACACCUCACAGUUUUACAUUUCGAAGAGACAACAGGAAGGUGCACAAAGGCAGUGCCACAGACAGUCACAUCAUUCCCAUUUUGUUUGCUCCAUUUCAAAGUGGAAACAGACCUCACUGGGGUUGAGGAAACAGUUUUAAUACUAAGAAUAGGUAUUUAACAGACUGCCAAGCAACUGCUUAAAGUUUCUCAGGCUUUAGGAAUCUCAAAAUUGUGUCAAAUCACCAUCCACAGCAGCUGGUCCCUUCCCAGCAGAAAAAAGCCUCCAGGAAAAUGGUCUCAUUCAAGUAAUAUGGAUUAGAAGGAGGAAUGCAGAGCAGGAGAGAGAUUUUGAAGAUUGAGAGCCUUUGCUGACAAACCUCCGAGCCAGCCAGGACUCUCCUUCUUUGUAUGCUGAGGGCUCUGCCUCGUGUUCCUGGGAAGGCUGAAGCUGUUGCAGCACUGGGACAGAGCCAGUGUGACUGGCCAGAAUGUGUCCCAGCCAGGUCACUCCAGGUGAGGGGACAGCAAGGGAACAACAGCCCACUUGGGCUGCACACGUUUCUGCCGUCCCACCUAGAGAUCUCUGCCACCAGAAACUGCACCUCUGGCAGCCAGUGGAGAGGAGAGGCCUCCUAAUAACACUUAAAGACUCUUUUCUGCAAGUAUCCAGUGGCUGAUGGUUGAGUAGAACAGUAAAGCAAGAUGAAAAAGCACAGAGAAAAGCAAUUCAGCUGUCUUCAGGAAGGUGAGGACUACUCAUUUCUAGAGAGGAAGAAAGAGAGAAUCAAAACUGAGACUUUUAAACAUAGCUUAUUUUAUCACACACACAUUUCCCUCCAAACAAAGGGAAGCUCAGGAUGCAGGGGGCUCCUCUGAAGAACUGCCAGCUAAGGACUGAGUGUGCCAGACCAAUGUGCUGUUUGCUCGUAUGCUGGGAGGAUGGUGGGGUUCACCCCAAAUGCUUAGAUUUCCUCUUAGCUGGGUCAGUCUGUUGCAGGAAGAGAUUUGCAAACAGCCAAGUGGAGUAACAGCAGCUGACAUCUGCAGAGAGCUACACUGCAGGGUUCAAUCUGUGGCCAGGAGACAAGCAAUGCUGAUGAAUGAAGGUGCUUAUGGCUCUAAAUUCCCUUAGCUGUUUACUCCAGGCAGGCCCCAGUGCAUCAGUGAAUGAAUACUGACAGUAUUACACAACAGCAUUAAAGGGAAGGGAUUACACGGGGCUGUGCUACCUACCAUGCUUUCCCUCUCAAUAAUGCAGCUGACCUUUCUGAUCUCUGUCUGAAAAGCAGCAGAUGCCUCCAUGGGGUCAAGAUAGUUAACCUAGAUUUUUGUAAUACUGGCUGCAUUUGCACUGAUGCAGAAGUCAGAAGGAGGCAAUGCCUAUUCCCCACCCAGACACACCAUGCGAGGCCGGCGAGGAGCAGGAGACCCACUCAGCACCUCUCAGCACCAAGGGGAAAGCCAGCAGGGCUGGUAGGGGUUCCUCAGCGGCCCCUGAACUCGCCAGACUCCUCGCAAAGACGAAUCCCUCUUCUGCAGACUGGGCUAGGGACUCAGUGCCAGGCUUUUGCCUGGAAUAGUCCGAGCAUGCUAGGUAUGGAGACCGUGAUGAUUUUUCAUCCCACAAGGCUGGUCUGGAGGGCUGCCCCUCUUGCUCCCUCUGCCCGUGUGGGCAUGUGCAAAGGGCUGUUGAGGAUUCAACGGAUUCAAGUUGUGCAGUCUGUUCUGGUUGUCCCUGUUUGGCUGCAGUUUGAAGAGGGGCAGGAACGCUCAGCAAGCUUCCUCUGCACACCUGAGUGCACUUGUGUCUUAAAACAAGCCAGUGGGGAAGCACCUCAGCCCAAGGGAGUGGCCUGAGGAUGGACAGAAGGAAGAAGCACAUUCAAGAUAGUAAUAUAGUUUCAUAUAGAAACAGAGCUUGCUGAUACGUAUCCUAAAUAAGAGGGAAAAAUAUACAUAUGAUCACAAAUGAACUUGGACUAAAAAUCAAGGCAACCUUGUCCUACAUCUUUUUAAGAAAGUCUGAAGUCAGAAAUAAUCUUGCUUAAACAGAUGGGCAGACAAACCAUCCAAAGAAUUUGGAUCAGAAUUAAAUAGGCUUUUCCAGCCCCAUCUGUGCAUUCUCACUGUGUCCCUGUGAGUUCAAGACGGAAGCACCAGGCAUUUUGAACACACAGGACAGUGCAUUUCAGGAAGCUCUCCUGAAAAGGGGCUUUCUAAAAAAAAAAGAAGUGGUGCAAAGAUGAUUGUUUACCACCAGCUGGCAAAGCCCAAUAACAAUCUACAUCCAAAAUCAAGGCCUUGACCACAAGAAAUGCUCAGAUGAAGAUUCAAAUACUGCAGGCAGCAGUACUAUAAAGCUUAAUGGGUAUAUGGAAUAUUACUUGUUAGGACACUGGGGAAGAAAGGCAUAAAGGUUGGAUUCCUGUCUUCUGUACUAAGGCCAACUAGGGUAUACACUAGUAAGACACAAGAUCAAAGUUCUGCUGUAAAAAUCGAAGUUCCUCGUGUGCCCAUUACAUCCCAGCCGUCACUGCUGGCUACAGGCACUGUAUAACUGCACACACAAGGUGAGGGGGAACAUGUUGGCCUGGCUACCGAGAUGUCCCUGAAAUCCCACCAAACUUCUUGUUCUGCCACAUAUGGCAAUGCUGGCUUACACCUGCAGAUCUGCCCUGAGGCAGUGAUCACCAUGACCAAAGCACACAGCACUGCAUGUCAGCACACCUCUUGCUCUGUGCUCUCACCCUGGGGUUCUGCUGUCAUGCUGGUUCUGCUGGGUGCUGGCCCACAUGCUGCCCUUGACUCUAAAGCUCAGUUCCUAUCUGGAACUAUGCUGUUUUUACUCUCCCUCCAAGUUUUCUUUUCAGCAGAGGCAAUAGCUCCAGUUUGCAUACUGAGUUUGUAAUGCACAGAAGACAAACAUCAGUUAAAUUAAUUUUUACCUAUGACUUCAGCAGAGAUCUGUGCCUGUCUGCCUUCAGUUGAGAGCAAGCCUUUUAACACAGUGCAUGGCUAAACCUCCUUUCCAUCAGCUCUCCACUUCCCAGACAUUUAGCAUCAGUUUCAAGACUAACGAAUAAAAUGCAGUAGUACAGCACUUCCAAGAAGGAAAAGUUGAAUGAGUAACUACUGCAGGGACAGUCUAAGCUUUCUGAUGUGGACCCCACACUGAAGUAAGCUUUAUUCAGAGAAAGCCAUUGAAAAAAAAAUAAUUCCCAAAGGUAAUGCUUCAAAGAAGCAAAAUCAACAUCACCAGUGUGCCUAGAGAAAUGGAGAUCUCUCUCAGGGGUGAAUGCAGCUACAGCACCUGAGAUAUAACCCACGUGUUCACAGACUAUUGGCACUCCACCUAGCUCCUCUUUCUGAAGUCCUCUUCAUCUCUGGUCUCUACAGCUGACAGUGCAAUAAGCAUUUGGGCUGCAUAGUAAGUAGCCAUGAUGAUGAAGCGCGAGUAGGGCACGGGGAAGCAGAACUUGUUAAGUGCGAUGGUUAGAUCGGACACCAUGAACAGCAUCGCGCCGAUGCAGGCAGAGAGCUUGGUCCAUGUCCAGAGGUCGUUGCACAGCUGCAUGCCGGCCACCGCCCGCCAGCCCAUGAAGGCAAUCAAGGCGAUGUAGACAGCGACCAGGUAGGUGAACGGGCCUGAGAGGUAGGAGUACAGGAAGGCAUAACAGGAACCGGAAACCAGGCCCAUCAACAAGCCGGCUUUGAGGUCCAAAGGCUUCAUGCCAAAGGCUGAAGAGUACAGGAUGUGUGUGAUGGCAAACAUCAGCAGACCUGGAAAGAGGCAUUGACACAGAUCAUCAGUGACUGGCGGUCAAGAGCUGAAGGAAACGUGGUUAUAUUGGUAUAUAAAUAUACCACAACAAGCACAGGCUUAGAGUUUCUUGCAAUGUUAUAACCCUUAACACUAUCAGUGAAAACCAUACUGACCACUUAAGCUAUUUAAAUAAAAAAAUAGGUGCAUGGGAGAUCAGCCUUAACACCAAGCCCCUGGCCUAAGAAAAAGCCCCAGCACAUCUACGGCUGCAGCCAAGUACAGCUCUGCUGUGACAAAAGCCUUUCUGCUGGGAGGCCAGGUGAACUAAGCUUCGGCAGAAGGAACUGAGCUUGUUUUUCAGGUGUUCCUCUUCCCCUGCUUUGGGCAGAAGGGUGGGAGCAAGGCAGACCAAAGAUCACCCCCUCCAACUAUCCAAAGUGUUUUGCUCACAGCUCACAUGUGGAACAGGAAGGCUGGAAUCAGAGCAGUGUAGGAGCAAAACAUGACAAAAGAUACCAAUCCCUCUGAACCCAGAUACAAAGCCUGACCGUAUUUAGCCACAAACCCAAAGGCACUCAGGGACUAAAUCUGGCUUCUACUCCAUCUCUGCCCAUAGCUGGGAGAAGCCUAAGCUGGAAAGAAGCAGCUGGCAUAUUUCAGAGACUGCACCGAUGUGAUCUGCCAACAAUUUUAUGGCUAUUUUCAAGAUUCAGAUGAACCUUAGAGGGAAUCAAUCAGUGAAAAUAAAAUGCCGGCUUCCCUUUGAAGUGCAACAGUCCUGAGAAACGCCAGAUGUGGGUGUUGGAAGGUACUGCCUACAUGUUGUUAUUCACUUGCCACUAAUCCAUUUGACAACAAUAUGUCCCAAUGUGUUGGCACAGCUGCUGACUCCUAGCUGUCAUGACAAUUGUAGAUAAUGGGCUCCAAACUGAGUCCAGCUCCUUGGAUCCUCUGGUUCCCAGGCCCACACAUGAUGCAGCUGCAGGCUGUCCCACUUUAUCCUGGCAGGGUUAUUAGUGGAGCUGGAAGUUUUUAUGCAGCUCUAAAGCAUGAAAUAGAGAAAAGGAUCUGGGAAGCUUGAGUCCUCCAGCAGGACACUGAUUCACAUUUAAUGUGUGAUGCCAUGGUGUAAAGGGCAGUCACUAAAACCUGCUGCUGGCAGACAUUGCUUCAUCCUAAUACUCUUGUGUUGAGGCAGUGCAAAGAAGGGGAAGUGUCUCCUUGCCUUUGGAGAGAACCAGAUUGGACAUUCACUGAAAGCUCAGCCAUGGUGGGAUGAGAAGGGAACCCACAGGAGGGAGGGGUUGGUGGGGAUCUGAUCUGCAGGAUGAGGCUAGAGAACAUGGACAGUGUGAAGGGGAAGGAAGAGAAGCACAAAGGAGGGCAACCAGAAGCUGAUGUUUCACAGAGCUAUUGCACAUCAUGGGAACAGCACUGAGGAAACUGAGAAGGGAUUUAGGACAUGAGCUGUUUGUAGUGUUAUAGUGCAGGAAAGGUUAGAGCCCGGGGAGAUGGUAAGGAGAAGAAGGAUACAUCCUCCUAGGAGUGAUGAGUGUUUUUUCCUUCAGUGGCAUUAUAUGGAGUAUUCUGGGACAGGGAACUGAAGAAUGUGUUGUCGUUCAUGCAGGCAUCUGGCAGCAAGGAGGAGAAGGAGGAGAGGACAGGAUACAGCAGCAAAACAGAGGCCUGGAAAGGCAGUAGGAGUUUUGUGAUAUGUGGUAAGGCUGGUCACAAACAAGGCAGUCAGGUCCUGGGUUUACUCAUUCAACACCCACAAAUCAAGCCAGGAACUGAGGAAACCUGUGACAGCUGCACAGGGAGGGGGUGCAUUUCUCUCGUAUUUCUCAGCCUUUAGCUUGGUCCUCCCACAUCAGGCAGAUCAGCCCUUCUCUCUGUCUGCUUCCUUGCCUCAGAUUUCCUCAGGCUGGCAAAAAGGCUUUUUUGCUAGUCCCUGUCUUCUUCACCAAAUGCAUAAAUUGUUUCUAAGUACCUGCCAUCUGAGGAGGUGGAUAUUAACGCUGUAAAGUAUUUUCUACAUGCACUAAGACACUAGUCAGAAAAUAGCGUAUUAGUGGACUGAAGCAGCAAAAAUGAAAAAAGUCAAGUGUGCCAGGAGUAGGUUCCCAGGCCCUCACUUCCCUAUAAAGUAAUGAACAAAUGUCCUUUUAUAAACUCGAUGUCUCAAAAGCUAUUCAAAUCAGCCCAGUUUCCAACCCUUUUCAGUUCAAAAGCUAGAGAAAUUGAACAGAAAGUACAUUUUUAUCCAGUAUUUCCUCUUACUCUCCUGAAACUUCAAAUUCCCACAACUGAUGAUGUCAAAAGGUUAAAUAUUGUCAGUUGUUGGCAAGAACAACCUGGUGAGUUUCAAACAGGAGAAAAUAAAUUUUGCAAGCAAGGUGAAGGAUGAAAUGGAUCAGUGUAAGCUUUAUCUGCUUACAGCUGAAAUGCAAAUAUUAACACUUCAUUUCAGAAGAUAGUAGCUCAGUGGGCUGAGAUUUUCAAAAUCCUCCAGUAGAGCUUUGUCUCCUCCUUAAGAAGAAAAACGUGUCUAAAGCCACAAAGCAAAACUUAUCAGUUGUGAGACUAGGGUUGAUAAUCCAACUAAUUUGCAGAUUUAAACAAUCAACCAGAUGAUGAAUUGCUGUGACUGGUUAACCCUUCCUCUAGCACUGUAUUGGAGAGGGAACUUGGAGAUAUACCGUCUAUGCGGAAUGGAGAAGCAUGGAACAGUCCAUACACAAAAAUGGUCAUGGGGAGAAUUGGGCCUCAAAUGUUUUCCAAGCCACAGCUCGAGAAGCAACUCCAGGAGGUAAAACAGACACACAGCCAUUCGGGCUGAGGCAACCUGCUCUGAGCCUGAGGCAACCUGCUCCUAACUCCUGUUAGGAGGAGGCCCAUCAGUGGGAAUGUCAACACUCAGCACAGAGGGGAUGGCACCCCAAGAGAAAGCUGAAGCUCCUCAGCAAUGUGCCCAAGGUUCAGCCAGAGAGAUCCAAUCCUCAGGGCCUAAUCUAAACCCUACCAAAAUCAGUAAAAAUUUUUACAUGAACUUUUAAUGAGAUUGAGAUAAGCCCUUGGAAAGCAGGAUUAAAACCAGAUUCAGAGCAUUUGGCCUUUCAGAUCUGGCACUGCAUGCUCUUUCUUCCCAUAAAGAAAGAGCUUCUGGGAAUCCCAGAAUAAAACUAAACACUAACCUCAUGAGAGAGGCAAAAAAUAAGCCUUUGACUUUCAGAGCUGACAACAGCACAAGUCAGAAAAGUUGCCUCAUCUCAUCACAUUUUCCAGUGGGACAGUCACAGCAGCCAGUUAAUGGUGGACGUUAUGUGAGAUCCUCGUGCUGGUUAAAUAAACUUCAGAAAGCCCACCAGUCAGUUUAGCAAAGGACUCAACUGCUGCUUAUUUCUUUUGACAGUCCAAGGCCACGGAGAGUGUUGCUGCAGGCAGGUUCAAUGUGGCUUUAAAUGAUUAAUCUAAAUCAUUAUGUUCCAGUCUGCGAACUAGCAAAAUAAACCAAGCUCAUUUUGCUCUGAGAGAUGUGGAUCUUUCUGUAGAGAAGACAGACCACUGUGGUAAGGUUUGUCCUUGACUGACCAUCAUUUACAUGUCUUGCAAAACAGAUAUAUCUUGUACAACAGGCUGCAUGAUUCACACUGAUGAACCUGCAAGUAGGACAAGAUUUCUGAUGCUUUCAUUUCUAGCAUCCACUUAAAAACCUCCCCCAGGCUAUGGGCUUGUCUAUCAAAACAUAAAGCUCCCCUCCACUUGCUCUUCACUGAGGACUUUUGCACAAUAUGUCCUAUCCCUGAUCCUUGUAACAAAGGGCUAACAGAUCUCCCUGCAGAGAGAUAGGAGGUAGAUACUUCCCAUAGCUUCAUGGGAGCUCAGGAGUACCAUAAGCAUUUCUUUCUCUUCCCCAGGGAUUCUGGCAUGCCACCUUCUCAGCUCCAGCCAGCCGAGGUGCUGUGACACAUGCCAGGAAAUCAAACCUGACCCAGUUACCUCUCUAGUCUCAAGAGAAAGACUCAUCCGUGGUGUGACUCUUCUAACCAUGAUGGAUUUUAGUCAAGGAAUAAGGGCUUCCCAGUGCACGGGGCUUAAGCUGUACGUGAAUAAACAAAACAUGUGCCCCAGCAACCCAUUACUAAAUAAAGAGGAUAAUAGCUGGACUGUGGCAUCCCUUUAGGACUGACAACAUACUCACCAUGAAUGAAGUAGCCCUGCUCCUGCCAGAUGAGAAAGGCAUCUCCCACUGCCGAGAAUAUGAGUCCCGCUAGGAUGCGGCUGGCACUCCGGUGUGACACUAAGAAGUUAAUUCCAUGGGCCAGAAGGAAAACCCACAGGCAAAAGAUGGGCAGACAUUUAAUGAGAGCACUGAACCAGGAGGGGCUGGAAGUUGGCAGCCAGAGGACAAAAUAGACACAAGUGGCUUUAAAGAAGGGCACCAGUUUGGGACCUUCGCUCUUCACCUAAAGAAAACAAACAUUAAAAAAGAUAAAUUAAUAGGAUCAUCAGAAGCAUCAGUGGAAUAAACUUCAUAACAGAACUGUCUCCUUCCUUUUGAAAGCUAAUCUUUCAUGUAUACUGUCAGCUAGCAGCGUUUUUACCCUGAGAACUGCUGAUUGAACUUGACCACAAUUCUCAGCCUAGACCUUUGUGAUCAUCUCUGCUGAACACUUCUCGGCUGUCAGGAUGGGGUUUGGGUGGUGGACUUGGAGGAAGUUUUAGAUACCUUUUCUCUUUAUUUGGUUCUACUGAAAACAUUCAGGCCAUCAGUCAAACUCCUCUGGUGCUCCUUGACACCUACCUUGUGUUUAGACUAAUCCCUUUUAUACACCUUUCCAGAGCUGUGAAAAUACUCCACCCCCAGAUAUAUCCCAGCAGCAAACAAACCAGAAAAAGUGCAAAUCCUCCCUUCCAUUUUCACAAAUCCUCACGCUUAGCCAGUAGCAGAUCACCCUGAGGAUACAACCUCUCUUCUAAGGCAUUCUUUCUCCUGCCCUGUAGCCUUAUGCCUGGAGCUUGCUGUUGGCACCACCACAUGACUUCAAAACCCGUCACAUCAACCUCACAGGUGAGGAUGUCAUUUCCUCAGCUGACUAAUACCAACAUUAACCACGUGUUGCUUUGUUCUAGCAUUACAGUAAUAAUACAGAACCCAUACUGCAGGAAAUGUUUUGACUCAGGGCUCUGUUGUGUAAAUACACAAAAAUGUAGCAUGAGCACUUAGCUACCCAUAACAAAGCCACAGCAGGGGCAGGGCACAGAGCUACAGACUCCACAAGCUGGGUCUGCUCUUGAUAUACAUUUAGCUGAGAACACUCUGUACAAUGAUAACAUAUGUAUUGUGAUCACCUGCCCUCCUGUUAUAAUUCUGCAUUUCAGUGCAGGUGGGGAAAACUUCACAUGAGAAACAAAGCUAUGAUUUUAUUUUCUCCUGAAGAGCAGCUGAGGGCCAAAAUAAGGAUCAAAGGAAAGGGACUGCCUCCUGUGCCUGACUGAGCUAUGUCCUGGGGUCUAACAGGAGGCCUGUUUCCUCCUGCACCUAAGGCAGUGCAACAUCCAGAGCUCCUCUGCAAGCAGAGGUUUACUCUCAACCUUCCCAUUUCUUUGGUCAAGCAAGACUUAGUUGCUUAGUAUCACAACUUCCCUCUACUCAUGGCCAAAGCACACAGAGGACUCAUGCACUGGAGGAGGACAUGGGAAAAUUUAGAGGCAUCAAAGUUGAUUUCACUCUGCAGA